rnacentral:rRNA from 1 species
GACGAACGCUGGCGGCGUGCUUAACACAUGCAAGUCGAACGGAAAGGCCCUGCUUUUGUGGGGUGCUCGAGUGGCGAACGGGUGAGUAACACGUGAGUAACCUGCCCUUGACUUUGGGAUAACUUCAGGAAACUGGGGCUAAUACCGGAUAGGAGCUCCUGCUGCAUGGUGGGGGUUGGAAAGUUUCGGCGGUUGGGGAUGGACUCGCGGCUUAUCAGCUUGUUGGUGGGGUAGUGGCUUACCAAGGCUUUGACGGGUAGCCGGCCUGAGAGGGUGACCGGCCACAUUGGGACUGAGAUACGGCCCAGACUCCUACCGGAGGCAGCAGUGGGGAAUAUAGCACAAUGGGCGGAAGCCUGAUGCAGCAACGCCGCGUGCGGGAUGACGGCCUGCGGGUUGUAAACCGCUUUCGCCUGUGACGAAGCGUGAGUGACGGUAAUGGGUAAAGAAGCACCGGCUAACUACGUG